AUGCCUGUGCACAUGUCUGCGAGUGCGUGUGGAGGCCGGCCAGGGGAACACAUCAGAUGUCCUCAAUUCUCUCUUACUUUUGAGGCAGGGUCAAGAUCACUGAAUCUGGAGCUCAUGGUGAGCGACAGGGACCCCUGUCUCCCUGGUGCUGUCAUGAGAGAAGCACACCACCAUGCCAAGGAUUUUACGAUCAAAUUCUAUCUGGAUUCAAGGAUGUCAACAUCACCACUCAAAGAAGGGAUAAUUAAGAAAUAUUCCAAAAGUCACUAGAGACCUUUCUAAUAAAUUGCCAAAUGAAUUUUCCACACUGUUGAAGUCUGAAAAAGCUAAGAAAAAUACAUUUGUAAAACUAUACAUGAACAAAACCCAAACGCUUUGACAUGUACUCCCUUAAUCUAAUCAUUUGUGGAAAGAUUUACAUAAUUCUAAUUGUAAAAAAUGUUAUUUCGGGGGAUAAAAUUAGAGAUGAACCACAAAAUAAAUAUGAACUAAAGGGAACAUUAA